UUAUUCGUUGAUGUAACGAAAAAAUAAAGAAAAUGAGUAACUGUGACUUUUCAAUCUUUGAUGUUGUUGAUCUUACAUCAUGGCUCAUAGGUUGUUGUUGCGGUGCAGAAGUAGUUGUUACAGAGGAAAACGUCAGCUGCCGCGGCCAAAUUUAUCUAGUCAGAGUAUUCAUAUAUCUCAUAAUGAAUACAGUAGAAUUCUCAACCGAAGUGUUGACGUUCGACAAUGGAACAAAUCAAACAUUCCUUGGUGCUUACCAAGAAGGAAUAAUUUCUCCAUAUCUUUUUUACUGUUAUGUUGUAAUAAUAGUUGAACUUGUUCUUAUACUUUCAAUUAUGUGCUUUUGCUGUUGGAAAUUUUCAAGUUUGUAAAACCUGUUAUAGAUAUUGGAAUGAUAUAUAUCUUCAAAAUCCUAAUGUUAAUGCUUGAUGUAGUAAUAUUGAUGUUUUCCAUAUU
rnacentral:lncRNA from 1 species